rnacentral:tRNA from 1 species
GGGGCUGUAGCUCAGUGGUAAAGUGCUUGCCUCAAAAGUGUGAGGCACUAGGUUCGAUCCUCAGCACCA